rnacentral:tRNA from 1 species
GCCACCUUAGCUCAGUUGGUAGAGCAACGCAUUCGUAAUGCGUGGGUCGGCGGUUCAAAUCCGCCAGGUGGCU